ensembl:lncRNA
CGAUUUGCCUCUUGAAUGGCUGUGGUUGGACGGCGGAGGAGGCAGGGAGGGAGGGAGGGAGGCAGGGAGGGGGGAGAGGAGGGGAUCAGGCGACACAAAUGCCAAGCCCGGCUUCCAGCGUCUCUCAUUUGCUCUGUGGAAACUGAGGAAUGCAAUUCUGCCACCAUGAUGGAAGGACUGAAAAAACGUACAAGGAAGGCCUUUGGAAUACGGAAGAAAGAAAAGGACAAUGAUUCCACGUAAGUUUGUAGAGAAAAAGGAGAAGGGAGUCACUCCUGAAGAACAGAAAUAAAAGUCAGUAUACAUUAAAAGUACUCUUUGGCAUGUACAGUAAAAAAAAUCAGCAAAGAAACAGUAGUUAAAGUAGGUAAUUUAAGAACCUCAUGGUGUUUUGAAGUGAGGACAGUCCUUUAGGUAGCAGAUACUGUAUAAGUACACAAUCAAUAUAACUCCUCUUAAUAUCCUCCUCCCAUAUCCUUGUUGCCAUCCUUACAUGCUUUACAAUGCUUCUGAUUUUAUAAUAUGUUGAAGAAGGAGACAGGUUUUCUCUUGUUCUGAGCUCUGAUUAAAUUGAAAUAAAUAAAUACUCAGAAUGUGUAAUGUUAAAACUUUUAAUGACUAAAGUAAGAUAGAAUUUGCUUUUGUGGGUGUAACUCCUCACUUAUUUGAAAGAAUCACAUUUUUGUUGUAGGAAAGGAUAUUUAGAACAAGGGUUCUUAACCUUUUAUGUUCCAUGGACACUUUGCCAGUCAGGUGAAACCACCGACCCCUUCUCUGAAUGUAGUAGCAGAUAGUUUUAGGACACUCUACAUCAGCAUGUCUUUAAAUUAAAUUUUAGGAUUCUUCAAAAUUGCAUUUAAUAGAGACAAUACAUAGGGUUGUUUUUUUGUUUUGUUUUUUAAAUGAACCUCACGGACUCCCCUGAAAUCUUUCCACAAACCCCUUAGAGACCCCUGGCUAAGAACCCUUGAUUUAGAAUAACAGAAUGACUAUGAAAUAAUUAGUACACCUUUUUGUUAGAAAAGUGGAUGAGGCCUUCCAGGUCCUCCUGGGGUUAAAUGCAUUACAGGAACACUGACCAAAAAUAUUAUGACAUGAGGCUUUAAAAAGAUUGCAAUGCUAUCUUGGGUUUCAGCAGUAUUAUUGUUAUUAUUUGAUACACAACAAGAUUAGUACACAGCAAACGAGAUCAAUAUGUUGUAUUGGAUCAUGUGUCGGACGCUUCCCAAGUAUCUAGGACUAUGUAAUGUAUCGGCAAAUAAUGUGUGCAGAUCCAAGUAGAGUGGCCUUUUCCAGCUGACAGGCCGGGCUGUGGCGCAGGCUGGUUAGCAGCCAGCUGCAACAAAUCACUCUGACUAAGAGUUCAUGAGUUCGAGGCCAGCCCGUGCCUGCGUCUGUCUCUGUUCUAUGUUAUGGCAUUGAAUGUUUGCCUUAUAUGUGUGCAAUGUGAUCUGCCCUGUGUCCCCUUUAGGGUGAGAUGGGCAGAAUAUAAAUACUGUAAAAUAAAUAAUUUUUUCAGUGCCAAUUGUUUUUAAGUGCUGGUCAAGGUCUUUAGGCGUGUUGUUGUUGUUGUUGUUGUUGUUGUUGUUAUUAUUAUUAUUAUUAUUAUUAUUAUUAUUAUUAUUAUUAUACCCCACUUUAUCUCUCCUGCAGGAGACUCAAAGCAGCUUAACAUAAAUGCAUCAACAUACAACAUACAUAUAUGCAAACAAUAAUACAGGG